rnacentral:rRNA from 1 species
AUUGAACGCUGGCGGCAUGCCUUACACAUGCAAGUCGAACGGCAGCACGGGAGCAAUCCUGGUGGCGAGUGGCGAACGGGUGAGUAAUAUAUCGGAACGUGCCCAGUCGUGGGGGAUAACGUAGCGAAAGCUACGCUAAUACCGCAUACGAUCUAUGGAUGAAAGCGGGGGAUCGCAAGACCUCGCGCGAUUGGAGCGGCCGAUAUCAGAUUAGGUUGUUGGUGGGGUAAAGCCACCAAGCCGACGAUCUGUAGCUGGUCUGAGAGGACGACCAGCCACACUGGGACUGAGACACGGCCCAGACUCCUACGGGAGGCAGCAGUGGGGAAUUUUGGACAAUGGGCGAAAGCCUGAUCCAGCAAUGCCGCGUGCAGGAUGAAGGCCUCGGGUUGUAAACUGCUUUGUAC